GACGAACGCUGGCGGCGUGCUUAACACAUGCAAGUCGAACGAUGAAGCUGGAGCUUGCUCCGGUGGAUUAGUGGCGAACGGGUGAGUAACACGUGAGCAGUCUGCCCUUGACUCUGGGAUAACUGCGGGAAACUGUAGCUAAUACCGGAUAUGUGGCUCGAAGGCAUCUUCGGGUCUGGAAAGAAUUUCGGUCAAGGAUGAGCUCGCGGCCUAUCAGCUUGUUGGUGAGGUAAUGGCUCACCAAGGCGACGACGGGUAGCCGGCCUGAGAGGGUGACCGGCCACACUGGGACUGAGACACGGCCCAGACUCCUACGGGAGGCAGCAGUGGGGAGUAUUGCACAAUGGGCGAAAGCCUGAUGCAGCAACGCCGCGUGAGGGAUGAAGGCCUUCGGGUUGUAAACCUCUUUUAGCAGGGAAGAAGCGAAAGUGACGGUACCUGCAGAAAAAGCACCGGCUAACUACGUGCCAGCCGCCGCAGUAA
rnacentral:rRNA from 1 species